GAUCUCGUUGUUUAGAGGUUAUAACAUUCGCCUUACUAGCGAAAGGUCGCCGUUUCGAUCACGGCCGAGAUCA